rnacentral:tRNA from 1 species
UCCCUGGUGGUCCAGUGGCUAAGGCUCUGCACUCCAAAUGCAGGGGGCCCGGGCUAAAUCCCUGGUCAGGGAA